rnacentral:pre_miRNA from 9 species
UCUCGAUAGCGUAAAAGUUAACUAAAAUUUGUAUGGAGUUCGAACGUUCGCUGCUAGGGGCGCUGUUCCAACUCCAUACAGAUUUGAGUUAACUUUUACGCUAUCGA